AACGAACGCUGGCGGCAGGCCUAACACAUGCAAGUCGAGCGAGGACUUCGGUUCUAGCGGCGGACGGGUGAGUAACGCGUGGGAAUGUGCCCUUCUCUACGGAAUAGCCCUGGGAAACUGGGAGUAAUACCGUAUACGCCCUAUUGGGGAAAGAUUUAUCCGAGAAGGAUCAGUCCGCGUUGGAUUAGGUAGUGGGUUGGGUAAUGGCCUCCCAAGCCGACGAGCCAUCGCUGGUUUGAGAGGAUGAUUAUCCACACUGGACCCGAGACAAGCCCCAGACUUCCACGCAGGGCAGAGGUGAAGUAUCUCAGACACCGGGAGCAACCCUGCGCUAGCCAUCCCGCGUGAGUCAUGAAGCCCUUACGGUUGUAAAGCGCUUUCAGAUGGGACGAUAAUGACGGUCCCAACCAGAGAAGGCCCGGCUAACUCCGUG
rnacentral:rRNA from 1 species